rnacentral:misc_RNA from 1 species
GCAGAGUUGCAAAACUCCCACAAACCAUCGCGAAUCUUACCCGUACGGUUGCCUCGGCGCUGGCGGUCCGGAAGGCCCUCGGGCCCCCCGGAUCCUCGGGUCUCCCGCUCGCGGGAGGCUGCCCGCCGGAGUGCCGAAACCAAACUCUUGAUAUUUUAUGUCUCUCUGAGUAAACUUUUAAAUAAGUCA